ensembl:snoRNA SNORA70 Small nucleolar RNA SNORA70
CUGCAUUUUAAAAUGUCAGGAUGCCAUAUGCAAUGGCUGUGAACAGCAUCCUCCAGGCUCAUGUCGUGUCAUGUCUGCAGCCUGUUGCCUUGUACAGGCUGCUCUAAGGGACCUUAGAGAUAUUC